rnacentral:rRNA from 1 species
UACGGAGGGUCCAAGCGUUAUCCGGAAUCAUUGGGUUUAAAGGGUCCGUAGGCGGUUUUGUAAGUCAGUGGUGAAAGCCCAUCGCUCAACGGUGGAACGGCCAUUGAUACUGCAAGACUUGAAUUAUUAGGAAGUAACUAGAAUAUGUAGUGUAGCGGUGAAAUGCUUAGAGAUUACAUGGAGUACCAAUUGCGAAGGCAGGUUACUACUAAUUGAUUGACGCUGAUGGACGAAAGCGUGGGGAGCGAACAGG